rnacentral:rRNA from 1 species
GAGUUUGAUCUUGGCUCAGAUUGAACGCUGGCGGCAGGCCUAACACAUGCAAGUCGAACGGUAACAGGAAGCAGCUUGCUGCUUCGCUGACGAGUGGCGGACGGGUGAGUAAUGUCUGGGAAACUGCCUGAUGGAGGGGGAUAACUACUGGAAACGGUAGCUAAUACCGCAUAAUGUCGCAAGACCAAAGAGGGGGACCUUCGGGCCUCUUGCCAUCGGAUGUGCCCAGAUGGGAUUAGCUUGUUGGUGGGUAACGGCUCACCAAGGCGACGAUCCCUAGCUGGUCUGAGAGGAUGACCAGCCACACUGGAACUGAGACACGGUCCAGACUCCUACGGGAGGCAGCAGUGGGGAAUAUUGCACAAUGGGCGCAAGCCUGAUGCAGCCAUGCCGCGUGUAUGAAGAAGGCCC